CAGCCCCAAGAUUUUUUUUGGGGGGGGGCACACGGGUAGCUUGGCCAGGCCAGGGAGGAGCAGUAAGCCAGCUACCCGUGACUACAGGGAGGUGCGUACGAGGUGGAGGGCGCCAUGUUACGCUGAGGUAUGCACCAUCUCGCCUAUACGGACGAACAGCCCAGUUCGCCCAGUACCAGCGCCCCGGAGGUGCCAGGGCAAGGUGAGCAUCGAGCCGGAAGGGGGGAUGCCAACCCUACAAUCAAGACCGCCAGCGCGCCCUUUCGGUCCGGUGUUUCCCGCCAGACGCACUAGCAUGGAGGUGCGUGUCUCCAGGCUGGCACGUCCUAUACCAGCCCCACGCAUCAGGAGUCUAGUGUGUCAACCCAGCUUCGCCAGUCAACAGUCACCAGAGCUGCCCGCCAGUCAACAGUCGUCAGUGCUGCCCGCCAGUCAACCAUCACCAGAGCUGCCCGCCAGACAACAGUCGUCAGAGCUGCCCGCCAGUCAACAGUCGUCAGAGCUGCCCGCCAGUCAACAGUCGUCAGAGCUGCCCGCCAGUCAACAGUCGUCAGAGCUGCCCGCCAGUCAACAGUCGUCAGAGCUGCCCGCCAGUCAACAGUCGUCAGAGCUGCCCGCCAGUCAACAGUCGUCAGAGCUGCCCGCCAGUCAACAGUCGCCAGAGAGGCCAGACUGCCCUGAACUGCCGGAGUGGCCGGACUGCCGGAGUGGCCGGACUGCCCUGAACUGCCGGAGUGGCCGGACUGCCCUGAACUGCCGGAGUGGCCGGACUGCCCUGUUCUGCCAGAGUGGCCGGACUGCCCUGUUCUGCCAGAGUGGCCGGACUGCCCUGUUCUGCCAGAGUGGCCGGACUGCCCUGUUCUGCCAGAGUGGCCGGACUGCCCUGUUCUGCCAGAGUGGCCGGACUGCCCUGUUCUGCCAGAGUGGCCGGACUGCCCUGUUCUGCCAGAGUGGCCGGACUGCCCUGUUCUGCCAGAGUGGCCGGACUGCCCUGUUCUGCCAGAGGUGCCCGCCUGCCCUGAUCUGCCAGGGUGCCCGGCCUGUCAGGAUCAGCCCGAGUGGUCCUCCUGCCCUCCGGCCCAGCCCGAGUGGUCCUCCUGCCCUCCGGCCCAGCCCGAGUGGCCCUCCUGCCCUCCGGCCCAGCCCGAGUGGCCCUCCUGCCCUCCGGCCCAGCCCGAGUGGCCCUCCUGCCCUCCGGCCCAGCCCGAGGGGCCCUCCUGUCCCCCGGCCCAGCCCGAGGGGCCCU
rnacentral:lncRNA from 8 species